rnacentral:tRNA from 1 species
AUCAAUGUAGCUGAGCGGUAAAGCGUUUGGCUUCUGAACGGGGAGUCCCAGGUUCGAAUCCUGGUGAAGACU